rnacentral:rRNA from 1 species
UUGAACGCUGGCGGCAUGCUUUACACAUGCAAGUCGAACGGCAGCGCGGGCUUCGGCCUGGCGGCGAGUGGCGAACGGGUGAGUAAUGCAUCGGAACGUGCCCAGUAGUGGGGGAUAGCCCGGCGAAAGCCGGAUUAAUACCGCAUACGACCUGAGGGUGAAAGCGGGGGACCGAAAGGCCUCGCGCUAUUGGAGCGGCCGAUGUCGGAUUAGCUAGUUGGUGGGGUAAAGGCUUACCAAGGCGACGAUCCGUAGCUGGUCUGAGAGGACGACCAGCCACACUGGGACUGAGACACGGCCCAGACUCCUACGGGAGGCAGCAGUGGGGAAUUUUGGACAAUGGGGGCAACCCUGAUCCAGCCAUGCCGCGUGCGGGAAGAAGGCCUUCGGGUUGUAAACCGCUUUUGUUCGGGAAGAAAUCCUCUGGGCUAAUACCCCGGGGGGAUGACGGUACCGGAAGAAUAAACACCGGCUAACUACGU